rnacentral:rRNA from 1 species
GACGAACGCUGGCGGCGUGCUUAACACAUGCAAGUCGAGGGCAUGCAGCAAUGCAUGACCGGCGAACGGGUGCGUAACACGUGAGCGACCUUCCGUCUUCUGGGGGAUAGCCGGCCCAACGGCCGGGUAAUACCGCAUACGCUCUGUGGGGGGCAUCCCUGACAGAGGAAACUUCCGGGGGAGGACGAGGGGCUCGCGGCCUAUCAGCUAGGUUGGGGGGUAACGGCCUCCCAAGGCGACGACGGGUAGCUGGUCUGAGAGGAUGGCCAGCCACAUUGGGACUGAGAGACGGCCCAGACUCCUACGGGAGGCAGCAGUGGGGAAUCUUGCGCAAUGGCCGAAAGGCUGACGCAGCGACGCCGCGUGUGGGAGGAAGCUC